rfam:Schistosoma haematobium scaffold231_17, whole genome shotgun sequence.
AUCCUGCCGACGAGUCCCAAAUUGGACGAAAUGCGCGUCAAACUGGAU